AUGCAGAUAGCCAAACACUCAAUUAUACUGUAUCCAGUUAUGAUGAAGCUAAUGGCCACUGAAAUACCUCUCGUCAGCUUGCAGCAGGAUUCUUUUACUCUAGAGAUUCAGGAAUCCAUGGAGGUGUUUGCUGUUCUGCCAGACUCAACCACUCAGUCAUUGUUCACAGUGAAUGUAGCAGCCAACACCAGCAUUGCUCUGAAUGUCUUUGACCAGAAACUCACUGGCUCGCUAUGUCUGAACAGGCUCCAGUUCUCCCUUGCCCAUUCCAAUGUUGGCUCUUUCGAGGUAAGCAGACAGUUUAAACACAUAGGAAAUACAAACCAGGACUAUCAAUGAUAUCAAGGCUAAAGUGUAAGCAACUAAAUUUUAUCAGUAUUCCUAAAUCAUUUGGCUUCAUUCCUGGAUGUCUCUUUUCCUGUCUUCUGGCAGGCACCACUCUGCUGUUGAUUGGAAAAAAAAAAAAAAAAAAAAGUUUAUUCUUUGAGGCAAGUCAGUGUUCUGAAAAUUAAAUAUUCUGAAGUUUUCCUGACUAAUGUAUCAUAUUUUACCAGUAAUAGAGAGAUGUCUCAAAUCACAGCCAUGGAAUCUGCACACAGCAGCAAUCUGAACUCUGUCAGUAGGUGGAGCAGUGUGCUGCAGUCUGAGCAAUCACAUGUAUGACUGAGCCAUUUGCAUUUUGCAUCUCACUUCUUCUGCAUCAUUUCAAAGACUUAAGAUCCAAAGGUUACUUUAGCUUAUGGCUCUCUGGAGCUAAAUGAAAGCCAAAAGCUGAAUGGAAGCCUCCAGACCUCGCCCAGAAUGUGGGAAUGAUGAUUCUGCCACUAUUAGAAAGUGAUGGCUAACUCAGUUUUUUUGUUUAUGACAGAUCUCAUUUCUGGAGAACAUCCUGUCUUAUAUUUUACAAACUGAAGUAAUUCCAUCAGCCAAUGGUAAGGCUAUAACACCAACCUGUAUCAUGUGGUUGAAACACCUGAGGGAUGGGAUGCCAUUCAGAGAAAUCCAGACAGGCUCAAACAGUGGGGAAACAUGAGGAGAACCUCAUGAGGUUCAGCAAACCCAAGUGUGAGGUCUUUCACUUGGGUCGUGGCAUCCCCUACUAUCAGUAUGAGCUGGGAGAUGAAAGGAUGGAGCACAGCCUUGCUGAAAAAGACUUGGAGGUACUGGUGCAUAACAGCUGGACAUGAGCAAGCAGUGUGCCCUCACAGCCCAGAAAGCCAACUGUGUCCGGGCCUGCAUCCAAAGCAGCAUGGCCAGCAGGGCAAGGGAGGUGAUCCUGCCUCUCUGCUCUGUACUGGUGAGACCUCACCUGGAGUAUUGUGUCCAGAUGUGAAGUCCUCUGUACAGGAAAGACAUGGAACACAUCCACAAAAAUGGUCCAAGGGAUGGAACACCUCUCCUAUGAGGAUAGGCUGAGAGAGCUGGGGCUGUUCAGCUGGAGAAAAGAAGGGUCCAGGGAGACAUGAGAGUGGCCUUCCAGUAUCUAAAGUGGAGCUGUAAGAAAGAAUGGGACAGACUCUUUAGCAGAGUCUGUUGUCCUACCAGACAACAGGAAGGGGAAAUGGUUUCAAACUAAAAGAGGGGAGAUUUAAACUGAGAAAAAUACAAUGAUAGUUAUAGCAGUGAAGUGAAGCAAGGUAGUGAAGCAGAUCUUUGGAGACAACCAAGGUCAGGCUGGUGGAGCUCCUGCUUAAGCUGUAGGUGUCCCUGUUCAUUGCAGGGGAGUUGGACUAGAUGGCCUUUAAAGGUCUCUUUAAACAAUUCAUUCAAGUCUAUGAUUCUGUUCUAAGAAUCAGCUAAAAGCUUUCAGCUGAGUGGGUGAUUCUAGGAACUUUUGACUUUCUGCUGAAGUUACUGGUUCCUAUUAGCUCAGGUGGAACGUGACCAUUGGCUAAUAAGCGCAGAACAGGAAACCAGAUUUGUAAGGUUCUAAUUUCUGAAUAAACAGGAGAUUGUUGGAGGGCA
ensembl:lncRNA